AUCUGAUGAGUUGAGCCCUUUUCAAUUGAUUUUUAUAGUUCGUUUUUAUGUUGUACUGUUAUACCACUGUCCCAGGUUAGGGGGAGGGUUGGGAUCCCGCUAACAUGUUUAACCCCGCCACAUUAUUUAUGUAUGUGCCUGUCCCAAGUCAGGAACCUGUAAUUCAGUGGUUGUCGUUUGUUUAUGUGUUACAUAUUUGUUUUUCGUUCUUUUUUUACAUAAAUAAGGCCGUUAGUUUUCUCGUUUGAAUUGUUUUACAUUGUCUUAUCGGGGCUUUUUAUAGCUGACUAUGCGGUAUGGGCUUUGCUCAUUGUCGAAUGCCGUACGGUGACCUAUAGUUGUUAAUGUCUGUGUCAUUUUG
rnacentral:lncRNA from 1 species